UAACGCGAAGAACCUUACCAAGGCUUGACAUACACCGGAAACUGGCAGAGAUGUCAGCCCCCUUGUGGUCGGUGUACAGGUGGUGCAUGGCUGUCGUCAGCUCGUGUCGUGAGAUGUUGGGUUAAGUCCCGCAACGAGCGCAACCCUCGUUCCAUGUUGCCAGCGCGUUAUGGCGGGGACUCAUAGGAGACUGCCGGGGUCAACUCGGAGGAAGGUGGGGAUGACGUCAAGUCAUCAUGCCCCUUAUGUCCAGGGCUUCACGCAUGCUACAAUGGCCGGUACAAAGGGCUGCGAAACCGCAAGGUGGAGCGAAUCCCAAAAAGCCGGUCUCAGUUCGGAUUGGGGUCUGCAACUCGACCCCAUGAAGUCGGAGUCGCUAGUAAUCGCAGAUCAGCAACGCUGCGGUGAAUACGUUCCCGGGUCUUGUACACACCGA
rnacentral:rRNA from 1 species